rnacentral:rRNA from 1 species
UACGAAGGGGGCUAGCGUUGCUCGGAAUCACUGGGCGUAAAGCGCACGUAGGCGGCCUACUAAGUCAGGGGUGAAAUCCUGGAGCUCAACUCCAGAACUGCCUUUGAUACUGGUGGGCUUGAGUCCGGGAGAGGUGAGUGGAACUGCGAGUGUAGAGGUGAAAUUCGUAGAUAUUCGCAAGAACACCAGUGGCGGAGGCGGCUCACUGGCCCGGUACUGACGCUGAGGUGCGAAAGCGUGGGGAGCAAACAGG